GGGCCCGCACAAGCGGUGGAGCAUGUGGUUUAAUUCGAUGAUACGCGAGGAACCUUACCAGGGCUUAAAUGUAGUGGGACAGGUCUAGAGAUAGCUAUUUCUUCGGACCACUUACAAGGUGCUGCAUGGUUGUCGUCAGCUCGUGCCGUGAGGUGUCAGGUUAAGUCCUAUAACGAGCGCAACCCCUGUUGUUAGUUGCCAGCGAGUCAUGUCGGGAACUCUAACAAGACUGCCGGUGCAAACCGUGAGGAAGGUGGGGAUGACGUCAAAUCAUCACGGCCCUUACGUCCUGGGCUACACACGUGCUACAAUGGUCGGUACAGAGAGCAGCCACUACGCGAGUAGGAGCGAAUCUUCAAAGCCGAUCACAGUUCGGAUCGGAGUCUGCAACUCGACUCCGUG
rnacentral:rRNA from 1 species